GGUGACCUGCGGAAGGAUCAUUACAGAGAACAUCGCCCUCACGGGUGACUCUCCAACCCUAUGUUAUUAUACCUUUAUUGCUUUGGCGAGCCGCUUCGGCCACCGGCUUACGCUGGUGAGCGCUCGCCAGAGGACCCCAAACUCUGAAUUAAGUAUCGUCUGAGUACUAUAUAAUAGUUUAAAACUUUCAACAACGGAUCUCUUGGUUCUGGCAUCGAUGAAGAACGCAGCGAAAUGCGAUAAGUAAUGUGAAUUGCAGAAUUCAGUGAAUCAUCGAAUCUUUGAACGCACAUUGCGCCCUGUGGUAUUCCGCAGGGCAUGCCUGUUCGAGCGUCAGUACAACACUCAAGCUCAGCUUGGUCUUGAGCCUAGCCGGUCACCCGGCGGGCUUUAAAAUCAGUGGCGGCGCCAUCUGGCUCUAAGCGUAGUAAUACUCCUCGCUAUUGAGUCCUGGUGGAUGCUAGCCAGCAACCCCCAACUUUCUAAGUUUGACCUCGGAUCAGGUAGGGAUACCCGCCGAACUUAAGCAUAUCAAUAAGCGGAGGAAAAGAAACCAACAGGGAUUGCCUCAGUAACGGCGAGUGAAGCGGCAACAGCUCAAAUUUGAAAUCUGGCUCUUUCAGGGUCCGAGUUGUAACUUGUAGAAGAUGCUUCGGGUGUGGCUCCGGUCUAAGUUCCUUGGAACAAGACGUCAUAGAGGGUGAGAAUCCCGUACGUGACUGGUUGCCUUCGCCCAUGUGAAGCUCUUUCGACGAGUCGAGUUGUUUGGGAAUGCAGCUCAAAAUGGGUGGUAAAUUUCAUCUAAAGCUAAAUAUUGGGCAGAGACCGAUAGCGCACAGUAGAGUGAUCGAAAGAUGAAAAGC
rnacentral:rRNA from 1 species